UAUUAAUCCUGGGGGGUAAGGAUGCGGGCAAUGGGCGGGGAUUGGGUCAAAUGCCGGCUGGUGGGGUAUUCUAAGAUAAUCAAAUGUUUCAAAACAGACGUACCCAGGGGAUAGAUUGAGGCAAAAUAUUUUAAUAAUAUUUAAUAUAACAAAGUGACUAUAUGACCGGCAGCCGGUCACGGUUUAUCAAAUACUAAAUGGCUGGCAGUGUAGUAACUAUAUAUAGUUAAAUAUAAAAACUUUUGUUUGUGUUUGCUUUUACCGGGCUUGCUGUUGGCGUAUUCGGCAAAGGCACUGUGUGCGGAAAGUGAAACGCAGUCGGGGUCGGGA